rnacentral:rRNA from 1 species
GAUGAACGCUGGCGGCGUGCCUAAUACAUGCCAGUCGAGCGAACAGACGAGGAGCUUGCUCCUCUGACGUUAGCGGCGGACGGGUGAGUAACACGUGGAUAACCUACCUAUAAGACUGGGAUAACUUCGGGAAACCGGAGCUAAUACCGGAUAAUAUAUUGAACCGCAUGGUUCAAUAGUGAAAGACGGUUUUGCUGUCACUUAUAGAUGGAUCCGCGCCGCAUUAGCUAGUUGGUAAGGUAACGGCUUACCAAGGCGACGAUGCGUAGCCGACCUGAGAGGGUGAUCGGCCACACUGGAACUGAGACACGGUCCAGACUCCUACGGGAGGCAGCAGUAGGGAAUCUUCCGCAAUGGGCGAAAGCCUGACGGAGCAACGCCGCGUGAGUGAUGAAGGUCUUCGGAUCGUAAAACUCUGUUAUUAGGGAAGAACAAAUGUGUAAGUAACUAUGCACGUCUUGACGGUACCUAAGCAGAAAGCCACGGCUAACUACGU